ACCAUGCCUGGCCUAGGCGCUGCUUUCAAACCAGGGUUCCGUGGCUUGAGGAAAGGGGGGCCAGUGAGGAAGCAGUGGCCGCCGAGAGUGGUCCUGGGUUCCCCUUCCAUGGGCAGUAACUCAUUCCCACUUGGGCCCGAGUUCCUGCCUGUCCUGGGUCCUCAAGGUACUGCCUGCCCAGGACUGUCCAAGCUCCCACUUCAAGCCCACUUCUCUGGAUUCUGGCCGUGGCGCUGCUUCUGCAGAUGGGGCUGGGAGGAGGGAGUUAAGAGUGUCUGAAGCUCUAACCCCCACAAUCCUACCUCAAGUCUGUAAAGGGCAGGCUCCACAGAAGAUCAGGUGAAACUUGGCGUAAACUCCUAGCUUUGGUCAAGCGUCCCUUUGCCUGGCUUGUCCCUGUGGAUGGUGUGGUCUCUCUGGGGUCCCUGGGGUCCUCUGGACACUGAGGCAGGGCAGAACGUAGAGAUCUGAGACCCUCUUCCACCUUAACAUGCCCUUGGGGUGGAUUUAACGUUCCACUUUAAUGUUUCUCUGUGCCUCAUUUCCUCCUUUGUGAGAGGGAAAUCUUCUCACUCCCCACCUCAAAGGGUUAUUGCAUCAAAUGAGGUGCUGCAUGGAGUGCUCAGACCACCUGGCACCUCAAAGGGUUGUUGCAGGCAUCAAAGGAGGUGUUGCAUGAAGGGCUCAGAGCCCGCCUGGUGCAGAGAAGGGGUACCUGAAUGUGAGCACCCAUGACUGCUGGGGCCGUUACGUUGCUACUGUAGUUGGGGUGAGGAAGUGCCCUGCCACAGGACACUGUCACCACCAACGAGGCCGCUGGAGAGGCCGCUGUCCCCUUCCUCCUCCUCCUGCUUUUCCCAGGCCUUGGCUCUGACGUGGUCACCUCUGGGGCCCUUCCGUUCCCCAAGCCUCUCUCCCCAGCUGGACUGUGGGGGUAGAAGGUGGGUCGGCCGUCCUCUGCGCUUCCGGCCCUGUUGUUCCUGGGCUCCCCCCUUUCACUGGGUCGCCUCUGCUGGCAUCCUUGGCCUUAGACCCUCCCCAGCACCCCAGGGGGCUGCCCAAGGUGGCCUGGAUCUUCCCGUCAAGUUCAAAGCGUUGACAGGAUGCUCAGGGCCCACUGCCUUCAUCAGCCCCCACCGGCAACAGUAGCCUUAUUGCUAUUUUAAAUAAUUUUUACUAAGCGGCUCUAACUGGCUGCCCAUAAAAUAAUGAAAGGAAAAGUAUUCUCAUUAAAGAGGAGUUUAUUUGGAUUAUAAACUCGGGUCUGCUAAUUGUGGCCUAAUGCUAGGAUCCCAGUGAGGCUGUCUGUCGUGGCUGAUGGAGAGGCAGUGGCGGUGAACGCUCACCCUGGCUCCGACUGGGUGCAAGGAGGGGGCGCUCUUAAGGGCACUGGGGCGGGGCCUUGGUGUGGAAACACGAGGGGCUGUGUGUGCUCUCUCAGGAAGCAGCCGCUCUGUGAGGCUGGGAACGGGCCCAGAACCACAGUGAGGAGGUGGGGGUGCUGGGGCUGGCCUGGGCCGGGAACUCCCCAGGGCUGUCUCGCCCUCAUGCCCAAGGUGUGUGUGGCAGGCCCAGCCUGGGGAGCCACGGCGAUGACUCUUAGUGCGAUGAAUGAUGAGCCCCACCCAGGUCCUCUCCUCUGGGAGGCAGGGCAACAUGGGAGCUUCUGCAGGUCUGCGGGGCCAGAGGUGAGGCCAGGUGCAGGGCUCAGUUCUCCACACAGCAGCUGUGCCAGCCCCCCUGAGCCCCAGUUCCUUCUUCUACAAAUUCAAAUAAAAAUAUUGAUCUCAUGGGGCCCUUGUGUGGGUUAAGGGCCAAAUCCAAUGCCUGGCAAACAGCAGGCAGUUAAUAACUGGCCCUUUCAUGAUAGGUAGUGGCAGUUCCCAGGCCUUCAUUCGUGAGGAGGUUGUAGAGCCUGUCUCGGAACAGACGAGACUCCAGGUGAGUCCUUGCACUCUGGGUCUUGUUCCAGCGGAGGCUGCGGACAGGAAAGGGGCAGCAGGUGAAUGGUCAGAAUGAUUUCAUGUCAUUGUAGGGACAGAAGGGAGUCAGGGGACCGAGGGCUAUUUUGAGGGCUCGGAGAGAGAACUCUAAGGAGAUAGCCCUGAAUCUGAGACCCCAAAGAGGUAUGGUUGCCACCACCCUGUUCCUCUGCUUGGGUCAUCCCUGCUGACCACUGGAGAGAGCUUGGGGUGAGGCCCUUGACGUAUUCUGGCCCUCUGGCCCCUCCCCUGUGGCAGGCUAACUCUACCUGGUAUCUGUGACAGGUCUUAGGAAGGAGAAAGUUUUCUUUGUCUCCUCCAGGAGGGGGGAUCACAUCUUUGCCUUGUGGGAUUCUGGGCCGAGGAAUUUUCCUGCCCCUCAGCCAAUGGCAGAUGGCCUCCGUUCCUCCCCUUUCCCCAGUCAGUGGUUUCUUACCUUGUCUUGAGAAUGGGAAGGGCACUCUUGAUUCUCGUGCGCAGAGGCCUGGGGAGGCGACUGCAUUUUGUGCUCGUCCUCUCCAGCUGUCCAUCACUGGGCUGCACCAUCGAGGUGGCUCCCCUCGGCCCCGCCCUUCUUGCUGGCACCCAGGCGGGGAAGAGCUUAUGACUGAGCGCAGGCACCAUCUGCAUCUGGAGUGCCCAGCAGUUCUGCAGGGAUCCUGCAGGCCACAUGCAGCCUUUGGUGGAUUUCUCCCCAUCCCAUCCUAGGGUGGCCACAGCUUCCUCCCAGGCUCUGCCAAAGGUGGGAUGGUUGAUUCUCAUUUUCUAGAACAGUCAUAGUGGAAAAGACUUGUCAUCUUUUCUUUCCUUUGAGAGCUGUGAAGGCUUUGUUGGUGCUCCAACUUGUCAGGCAGUUUGCAAGUGUUUGAUGUGAGUUCCUGAAAAUAGAGUUUAUUCGUUAGGUACUGUAUUCUAUAUAUAUUUCUUAGUUCCAUUUUGUUAUUCAUGUUCUUCAGAUUUCCUCUAUCUUGACUGAUUUUAUUUUUCUGCUUGUUCUCUCAGUUACUAAGACAUGUAUUAACGUAUCCCAAUUGACUGUGGGUUUGUUUAUCUCUCCUUGUAGUUCUAUCAAUUUUUGUUUUAAAUUUUUGAGCAUCUGUUACUAGUGCACAUAAAUUUAUAUUUUUAAAACCUUCUCGAUGCAUUGAAAACUUUAUUAUGAAAUGUUCUUUUUUAUGCCCCCAAAAUGUAUUUUAUCUAAUAUCAACAUAGUUACACAGCUAAAAGAAAAACCAACUUUGGUAGGUGUUUACGUUUUAUAUAUAUGUGUGUGCGUUUUUCCCUUUACCUUUGUCACAAUGUCAUAGAUAUGUCUUUUGUCAACAGCGUAUAGUUGACUCUUUAUUUUUUUUAAAUGCAGCAGUCUUCAUAUUUAACUGGAGAGGUGAGUGCUUAUGCAUUUGAUGUAAUGACUUGAUGUCGUGAAUGACCAUUUGGGUUUAAAUAUAUGAAGUGUUUCCUAUUUGUCUCAAUUUUCCCUUUUUUGUUUUCGCUUUCUAUCCCAUAUUGCAUUUCAUGGGUUAUCUAUUUUAUUAUUUACCACCAUUAACUUCAAAGUUUUAGACUAUUUGAAUAUUCUUUUAGUGGUUGCCCUGAAUAUUGCAAUAAGCAUUCUUGGCUUAUUAAAGUUUAGUAUUUUUUGUUAUUUUACCCUCUUUCUGGACAAUUAAGGGCUUAAAAACACAUAAGGUCCAUUUAUCACAUUCCUUCUUGUAUAGCAUUGCUGUUGUAUAUUUUAAUUCUCUAUUUUAAGCCCAAUGAGGCAUUAUUUUCACACACACACACACACACACACACACAAACUCUUUUUGUUCCUUAUAUAUUUUGCAUCUCUUACCUUUCACCUGAGAUCAUUUUUGUUCUGCCUAUAGAACAAUCUUUAGUAUUUCCUUUAGUGUGAUCUAUUGGUGAUAAAUUCUUUGUUUUGUUUGUAUGAAAAUUCUUUUUAUUUAACCUUAAUUUUAAAAGAAUAUUUUCACUGGAUAUAACAUUCUUGGUUGGCACUUAUUUCCUUUUCAGCACUUGAUAUCAUUCAUUGUGUUUUAGUUUUUAUUGUUGCUGUUGAGAAGUAGCUGUUAUUUUAAUAGUUGCUCUUUGAAGGUAAUGUGUCUUUUUCUCUAAUUAAAAAAAAAAUCCUCUUUGCUUAUGGUUAUCAGCAGUUUUGCUCUGAUAUAGCUUGGUGAGGAUUUUCUUUUAUUUAUUUAUUUGUUUGCAUUUUGAUAGGGGUUAUAAGAUUCCUUGCUUCUGUACUUGAAGUCUUUCAUCAGCUUUAAAAAUUUCUCAGCCAUUAACUUUUCAAAUUUUCUUUCUGACCUACCUAGUCUCCCAGCUCCUUUUGGGACUGCAAUUACAAGGAUCUUAAACCUGUUCCUUAUGUUCUAUUUCAUACCCAUUCUUCUAUGUUUUCCGUCAUGUUGUAGCUCUAUUUUUUUUAUUCCAGACAUUUUAUUUUGACUUUCUAUUUCAUUGAUUUUCUCUUCAGCUAUGUCUAAUCUGCUUUUAAAUCCAUCCACUUAAUUUUAUUUUGCUAAUUUGAUUUUUCAGUAUUACAGUUUCCACUUAAAAAAGGAAUUUUCAUUUAUGUACUGAAAUUUCUAAUUUUUCCUUUAUCUCCUUGAACAUUAUAAACAUAGUUAUUUAGAAGUAUGUGUUGAUGACUCCAAUAGCUAGAGUCCCUGUGAUUACUUCUAUUGUCUGUUGUUUCUGCUGGUUUCAUUCAUAUCGUUUUGACUCCAUGUAUGCAUGGUUAUUGUGCCUGAUGUUGUGUUUUAAAAGUUGUUUGGAAGACUAAAUUAAGCCUUACAAUGAUACUAUCUUCUUUCAGAGAUGACUUACAUUUCUUUCCAUUGCUUUUUAGCACUUGAGGUCUAAAUCAUCUCAACUCAACCCCAGGUGUUGAGAUGAUAAGAUGUCACUUCCAUUUCCUGGGAAGGUUUGUCUGCUCUAGUCCCUCACCACUCCUCACAUUCAGCCCUUUGGUGUCUCAACUAAAAUGAGGGGGCCUCACUGGGGCCUUCCCUGUUGUCUGGGACCCCACAUGGCUGUGAAAGCACUGCUGUAUUUUGGCCUCUCUAUUGAUCCCCAUGGCAUCAGCACAGUGCCCCCAGGAGUAAAGCAGCCACACAUGGGAAGGCUUGGCCCCAUUUUCCUGUGAUUCUGGCCUGUACAUUUUUCACUAUCUUAUUAGUUCUGUAACAAUUUUUAAGAAGAUAUUUUUGCCUAGAUAUUUUAAUUGUGUUCAGUUGGAGAACUGGUCAUAAUUGCCUAGUCUGUCCUUACCAGAAGAGGAAAUCCUGACUUAACUUGCACCUUCACUUUGAACUAUUUAAACUAUUGCCACUGGCCAGAACUUCCAGCAUCCUGCUUCCCAUGCCCUGGGCUCCACAUCCCCUAGGCUGUAAGAUCUGCUUGGACUGGCCCGACCACUCCCACUCAGGUGUCAGCAGGAAGAAGGGAGGGAUGAGGGGAUGGUGGCACAUUGUCCCUUCCCCUCCACUCGGCUCCCCACCUCCAGCCUACGUCUUGGCUAAUGAUGACAACAUAGAAGUCUGCUGAGGACCAAAUAGGGUCUCCCGAAGUUUGCAGCACUGGGGAUUCAGGAAUUAUCUGGAGAGAAGGAAUCCCUGCCCUCAUGGACCUUAUAUUUUAGUGGACAGACGGAAAGUCAACAUGCUUACAAACCAAUGCUAAAGUUCUCAUGGCGACAAGAGCUGCAAAGACAACAAAAUCAGACAAAGUCCCCGGGAAUCCAGCCAGUAGGUGAUGAGGGAGCGUGGGGCAAAGGCUGACAACAUCACUUCUGUAACUAGAGUGCAUCCCAGGAACAAGAAAAAAGACCCUUCAGCCCCGGGACCCUGGAGCUCCUGCAAGCUCUCAUCUCCUCACCCAGCAGUGUCUGCAUGCUGGAGGGAAGCAGCGCUCUUUCCAAUCCAAGUCUCCACCUGUGGCCUGGGUGGUUGGAGGCAGCAACCCAACCUCUCUGAGCCUCAUCGGGCAUAGGGAGGAUGAACUGGGGAGGCUGCAAAGGCUGGUGCUCACCUCUUCUUCCACCGCCCUGGACCAGAACUCGACCACCCAAAGGCCCUUCCCAACCAGAUUCAUAAACUAUACGGAAAUAGAAACAUUUCCAAAACCGAUGUCUGGCCCAGCAGCCUGUGGGUGUGUUCUCACCUGAUGCUUUUGACAGCUUGGCCUGGCACACAUGGUUGUCACCACCACUCUGAAGACAGACAAGCGGGGCAUAGGGUGGCGGCCUUUGCCCAUGGUAUAGGGAUCCUGAGCAUGGUUCACACCCAGGGCUCUGGCUCAUGGCCCCCCAGAGGCAGGUGGGCUGUUUUCUUCUCCAGCUGUACCUGCUGGGGCCCCGCCUGUGUGUGUGUGCAGCAUGGGCCUGUUGGAUUAGAUGGAAGAUUUUGAGGGGAUCGCUGAGCUCAGUGUAUGUAGCAGGUGCUGAGAGGCCUAGAAGAUCAUCAAGAUUCAAAGCUCUGCUCUUCAGCCAUUUUUUAAGGCUACUGGGUGCAAAAGAGAAAUGUCUCGAUAGGGAGGGGUGAAUGUUGGUGCGGGCAGUAGAGUAACAACCCCCAAGACAGCCCUGUCCUGAUCCCUAGAACCUGUGAGCAUGUUCGGUUACACGGCUUACAGGGAGUUGAGGUCACAGGUGGAAUCAGGUUACUCAUCAGCUGGCCUCGAGUGGGAGGUUCUCCUGGAUUAUCUGGGUGGGUCCAACGUAAUCACAAGCGUUUUCACAGGAGGGAGGGGUGAGAGAGACUAAACCUGCUGGGUGCUGGUUUUGAAAAUGGAAGGGGCCCCCAGGCAAGGAAGGCCGCAGCCUCCAGAAGCAAGAAAACCUCAUCGGAACCAAUUCUCCCCGAAGCCUUCAGAAGGAAGCAGCUCUGCCCACACCUUGAUUUUGGCCCAGGGAAACUCCUUAGACUUCCGGCCUCCAGAGUGCUAGGAUAAUCACUAGCCCAGAGAUGCACUGCAGAGCCAGAGAUGCUGGGAGAGGCAGCGUGGAGGAGACCACCUGAGCCAGGUGGGGGAUGGCAGCCGAGCUGGGGGCAGAGCAGGCAUCGUUCAGGUGAAUGAGGUAGGGCCCUAGGUGCCUUGGCACUGGCUGGGCAUGCAGGGGCCUGUGCACAUCUCCCUGUGGGGUCUCCUCUGCUCUGGUGGUCCUCAAUUUCCUUCACGCCAUGCUCAGAAGAACCUUCAGUCCGAGCCCCAGGUGCAGGAGGAGAGCAGUGCUCGGAGAUGCUGGGUCCACAGCGGUCCAAGGGGUGUGGGGAGGAUGGACAAGGCUGUGACUGGGGGCUCCUGCUGGGUGUCGGCCCUCUGUGCUCUCUGUGUGUUCUCAGCCUUGGUGGUCAAGAGCAGAGGUGCAGUUUGGGGAAGGGACAAGAACAGACCCUAAUGCUGUCCACCAGGAGAAGGGACUCCCAGCACAUCAAUAAAAAGCGUGCUGGGGUUGAGAGACCUCUCAGUGUCUUCCCACCACACUUAGGAUGAAGGAAAACACCCUGUCAUGGCCCUGAGACCCUGCAGGGUGUAACUGUAGCCCCAUCUCUGGCCUCCAACCCACCCCACUCCAUGUGAUCUGCCCUCAGGCAGCCUUCCCUGUGCCGGUCACGGUCCCUCCCACCACAGAGCCUUUGCACCUGCUGUGGUUCUGCUGAAUAAUUUUCCCUUUCUCCUUUGUCUGCAACUCCUCCUGGCUCCACCCAAGCACUGCUACCUCAGGCGUGCCUGCUUCUCCCUCCCUGACUUGGCCAAUCCCCGUAUCCUUCCCAGCGCCUCUCCCUCCCAGACUUCGCCAAUCCUCAUGUCCUUCCCAGUGCCCCUGCCUCGGUCACGAUUUGACAUUUGUUUGCCCGGUGAUCUGAUUGGCAUCCAUUUCCUCUGCUAGACUGUGGAGUUACCUGAGGACAAGGACCUGGCUUGCUUGUUAGUUUGACCCUUGCAUCUCUGAGCCGAGGGCAGGGACAGCGUGUGGCGCCGCAGAGUGCCCCAAGUGCCGCCUGCCCUGAGUGGUCCAUGGGAAGUGACCCUCAUGUCUUCAGAGCAACCCUGGGCAGGCGCUGUUACUAUCUCCAUUCUACAGAAGGGGAAACUGAGGCACAGUGAGGCGAGCCAGUAUGUCUAAGGCCACAGUGACAUGUCACAACUGGACUUCAAAGUCUGGGCAAGCUGGCUCUGCGUGGCGCUUUCCCAUACAGGAGCCUCCAGCCACGCAUAGCUCGUAGAGAUUAAAUGAGUGAAAAUGAAAUGAAAAUAAAAUUCAGUUUCUCAGGUGCAUGAGCCGCCUUUCGGGUGCUUGGUAUCCACGUGGGGCUUGUGUCCGCCAUAUUGGGUAGAUUUGGCUCAUUUCCAUCAAGACAGGAGGUUCUGCUGGGAGGCAUCACCUCUAGAGUUUGUGUCUACAGCUGGAUGUGGACAGCCCCCAAGCAUUUCCCAGUGGAAUGGAGAAACAGGGCUUCCAAGCACCUCAUCCCACUCUCUUCCCACACUCCACAAGGGGCUCGCCGGCCUCUCUGGAGCUCCUGGACUUGAGAGUGAGCCCCUCGCUUCAAUAUUCCCAACCUUUCUUGCUCUCUAUCCUGUAAACUGCUGACUUCGACAGCACCCGUUUCUGGCUUCAUCUUACCUUCCGCAUCACAGACAGAAACCUUUGUGUUUUUGUUUUGUACAUGGCUAGACAGGCUUUGCAGGCCACAUUUGGGCUUCGUCUCUUCUUUCUCUCCUCCUCCUUCUCCCUCGCCUUUUUCCUGUCUCUCUCCCUCUUUCUAUCGUUCUCAUUUUCCAUCUUCUCUUUCCAACCCUGUAAAGAUGUGAACACCACUCUUAGCUCAUGGGCUGUGUGUGCUGGGCAGGUCAUGGUUUGCCAAUCUCAGCUCUAGAGUUGGAAGCUCUGAUAAGUGCCUUCCUCCUCGCUGGGCAUCGCUGGAGUUUUCGUCCACUUGUCCCACCUGUUCUGUCUGGAGAGCUCCUUUCUGAUUUGAGCUGAAUUCAGGGUCCCGUUCUUCCCCGGGGGCAUAGCUCCAGGAGCGGAGGCGGCGUUCUGGAAGCACUGCCUCUGAGCACUGCCUGGGCUCUCUCCCCCGCCUCCCUGCAAUUCUGGGGCUUGGAUGUUAUUUUUUGCGUAUGCAGGUGAGGCAUCAGCUUACUCCACUGUUGUCUUUAUUGCCUGUGAUUUUGGCUGAGAAUGUUGUGUUCCUUUCAGAAUCAACAGCACACUGUCUCCGGCAGUCAGGAUCAAUGUGACCCAAAGAACACUUCGGGGGUGGGAGUGAGGGCCUAUCCCGCCCUCACAUCCCUCGUCCUGCCAAGGAGCUCUGGGGGCCUGUUUGCUCUGCUAAAACGAUUCAUUUUCCUGCAGCCGAGGCUGCCUGCCUGGCUAGGCCCCUUGUUGGUGCAGCCCUGCUGUGUUAUUGACUCCAUGUGUUCUGUUUCUUGGCCCUGUUUCCUCCCCACCAAAGGGGCCGUGAUGCACAAACACCUGCCAAUGGCCAUGGGGCCUGUGUGGUUGGCCUUCUAAGAUGUGCCUGGAACACAGGCCGGUUCCACACUCCGUGUGGAGGCUCCUCUCGUGUGUCUUCGACUGUCAUUUGCCAGUGGGUCUCAGUAACCAUCUGCCCCACAAAUGCUGCCUGUGGCCACCACCCCUGCAUCCAGGCUCUCCUCCUCCAGCUGACUUCACUGCCACCCCACUGGGGGAGCUGAGAGAAGGUGCGCAGAACCAAGAAGCCCCACCUUGUGGGCAAUGCCAGCCAAUCAGAAGAGAGCAGGCAAGGCGCCUGGUGAGAUGUCAUGGCUGAAAGUGUGGGAUGUGCAAGCAGACAGGCGGACAGAAGAACAGGUGGAUAGGUGGACAAGCAGACAGGAGGACAGGAGGUCAGGAGGAUAGGUGGACAGAAGGACAGGUAGACAGGCAGACAAGUGGACAGGUGGACAGGCAGACAGGAGGACAGACGGUCAGGAGGAUAGGUGGACAGAAGGACAGGCGGACAGGCAGACAAGUGUACGGGAGGGCAGGCAAACAGGAGGACAGGUGGACAGGAAAACAGGCAGACAGGUGGACAGGAGGACAGGUGGACAGAGAGACAGGGGGGCAGGUGAACAGGAGGACAGGUGGACAGGCAGACAGGAGGAUGGGCGGUCAGGAGGAUAGGUGGAUAGAAGGACAGGCAGACAAGUGGACAGGAGGGCAGGCAGAAAGGAGGACAGGUGGACAGGAAAACAGGUGGACAGGAGGACAGGUGAACAGGUGGACAGGCAGACAGGAGGGCAGGUGAACAGGAGGACAGGAGGAUAGGUGGACAGGCAGGCAGACAGGCACGGCCAGGGUUGCAGCUUGGUUGCUGUCUCACUAACUGUGACCUUUGACCAAGGCUAACCCUUCCAAGCCGCCUUUAUGAAAUGGAGAUAAUUAUAGCAGCUACCACAGUUAAUCCAUGGGAUACAGGGGCUUCCUGCCCUUUUCUUUCCCACCCUGUGCUGUCUGUGGCUUCCCACCUGACACUUUCCUGCUGUGGAUGCUG